rnacentral:rRNA from 1 species
CGCUGGCGGCAUGCUUCAUACAUGCAAGUCGAACGAUAAGGUCUCUUCGGAGAUACAUAAGUGGCGGACGGGUGAGUAAUAUGUAGGAAAUCUGCCCUUGAGAGGGGGACAACAGAGGGAAACUUCUGCUAAUACCCCAUAUGAGCGUACCUGAAAUGGUAUUCUUGAAAACUCCGGUGCUCAAGGAUGAGCCUGCAUCUGAUUAGCUUGUUGGCGGUGUAAUGGACCACCAAGGCGACGAUCAGUAGCUGGUUUGAGAGGAUGAUCAGCCACAAUGGGACUGAGACACGGCCCAUACUCCUACGGGAGGCAGCAGUAGGGAAUUUUGCGCAAUGGGCGAAAGCCUGAACCGCAGCAAUGCCGCGUGAACGUAGAAGCCCUUCGGGGUGUAAAGUUCUGUCAGUGGGGACGAAUUUUGACGGUACCCACAGAGGAAGCACCGGCUAACUCCGUGCCAGCAGCUGC